rnacentral:rRNA from 1 species
AUUGAACGCUGGCGGCAUGCCUUACACAUGCAAGUCGAACGGUAACAGGGACUUCGGUCCGCUGACGAGUGGCGAACGGGUGAGUAAUAUGUAGGAAUAUUCCUAUAGGUGGGGGAUAACUACUCGAAAGAGUAGCUAAUACCGCAUAAUAUCUACGGAUUAAAGCAGGGGAUCGUAAGACCUUGUGCCAAUAGAAUAGCCUACAUCCGAUUAGCUAGUUGGUAGAGUAAAAGCCUACCAAGGCAACGAUCGGUAACUGGUCUGAGAGGAUGAUCAGUCACACUGGAACUGAGACACGGUCCAGACUCCUACGGGAGGCAGCAGUGGGGAAUUUUGGACAAUGGGCGAAAGCCUGAUCCAGCAAUGCCGCGUGGGUGAAGAAGGCCUUCGGGUUGUAAAGCCCUUUCGGAUAGAAAGAAAACUCUUACUCUAACAUAGUGAGAGAAUGACGGUACUAUCAUAAGAAGCACCGGCUAACUACGUGCCAGCCGCCGCCGCCGUAA